UGGCGGGUAGCUCAGCGGUAGAGCGCCAAAAACACCCUUGUUCACACCUUGUCCUUUGGGCCGAAGAAUUGAGGGUUAUCGCUUAAAACGAGGAUGUCGCGGGUUCAACUCCCGCCCCGCCAC
rnacentral:tRNA from 1 species